ACUUCAAAAAAUCAAAUUUGCCUUUCCAGAUGGAGCGCAUUAAAGAUGAAAUAAAAAUAUGAGGUGCAAAGUGACCCCAAAAAAUGAAAAUGGGGUAGGGAACAACCAUUUCCCUUUUUAGAUUCAACACAAAAAUCUCAUGUUUUGUCACCACAUAAGCUGUGACUAUGGCUACUCAAUCUCUUCUACAAGAUGCUGCCUUUCAUCAGAAUGAGAACGGUGGACUGUACACUAGAGAUGGUUCUGUUGAUAUCAUGGGUAAUCCUGUUUUAAAGAGUGAGACAGGGAACUGGAAAGCUUGCCCCUUUAUUCUUGGUAAUGAAUGUUGUGAACGUUUGGCGUACUAUGGCAUUUGUCUUAAUCUUGUUACCUAUCUUACCAAGAAAUUACAUGAGGGAAAUGUCUCAGCUGCUAGAAAUGUCACAAUUUGGCAAGGCACGUGUUACCUAACACCCCUCAUUGGGGCUGUGAUGGCAGAUACAUAUUGGGGAAGAUAUUGGACAAUUGCUACCUUCUCUAUUAUCUACUUUAUGGGAAUGUGUACACUGACACUAUCAGCUUCAGUUCCUGCUUUUAAGCCCCCUGAAUGUGUGGGUUCUGUGUGCCCUUCAGCAACUCCUGCCCAGUAUGCCAUAUUCUUUUUUGGCCUCUAUUUGAUUGCUCUUGGAACUGGUGGGAUUAAGCCAUGUGUAUCGUCAUUUGGUGCGGAUCAAUUUGAUGACACAGAUCCAAAAGAGAGAGUUAAGAAGGGAUCCUUCUUCAAUUGGUUCUAUUUCUCUAUCAACAUUGGAGCUUUGAUGUCAAGCACUUUUAUUGUGUGGAUUCAAGAAAAUGCUGGAUAGGGCCUCGGGUUUUUCAUCCCUACAGUUUUUAUGGGGAUUGCCAUUGCAAGUUUCUUUUUUGGUACACCACUCUACAGAAUUCAAAAUCCUGGGGGAAGUCCUCUCACAAGAAUGUGCCAGGUUCUGGUUGCAACAUUCCACAAAUGGAACUUUUCUGUCCCCGAUGAUAGUACACUACUUUAUGAAACCCCAGACAAAAGCUCUACAAUUGAAGGAAGCCGAAAGCUACUGCACACUGAUGAACUGAGGUGCCUUGACAAAGCUGCUGUAGUUUCAGAUACCGAAUCGAAAACUGGGGACUAUUCCAAUGCUUGGAGGCUCUGUACUGUUACACAGGUUGAGGAACUGAAAAUUUUGAUCCGCAUGUUUCCCAUAUGGGCAACUGGAAUAAUAUUUGCUGCUGUUUAUGCACAAAUGACGUUGUUUGUGGAGCAAGGGAUGUCUAUGAUAGGAUCCUUAUUCCAAUUGCAAGGAGGCUUACUGGAAAUGAAAGGGGAUUUUCCAACUUACAGCGAAUUGGAAUCGGACAUUUCCUUUCUGUGUUGGGCAUGUCAGUUGCUGCUAUCGUUGAGUUCAAGCGUCUACAACUUGCAAGAGACCGUAGUUUGGUGGAUGAAGCAGUUGCAGUACCUCUCAGUAUCUUUUGGCAGAUUCCGCAGUAUUUUAUACUAGGAGCAGG